CUCUGGCGCGGCAGUCAGAAUUCGGGACGUGCCCGGAGCGGUGGCUUGUCCCGAAUUUUGACUCGGCCAAAU
rnacentral:pre_miRNA from 1 species